rnacentral:rRNA from 1 species
GACGAACGUUGGCGGCGUGCUUAAUACAUGCAAGUCAACUGAAGCAGUGGUAGCAAUAUCGCUGUGGAGGUGGCGCACGGGUGAGUAACACGUAGGUAAUCUGCCUUCAGGUCUGGCAUAACUCCGGGAAACCGGGGCUAAUAGCAGAUGAUGCAGCGGCUCGACAUCGAGACAGUUGUUAAAGCUAUGGCGCCUGAAGAUGAGCCUGCGUCUGAUUAGCUAGUUGGCGGGGUAACGGCCCACCAAGGCAACGAUCAGUAGCUGGUCUGAGAGGAUGAUCAGCCACACUGGCACUGAGACACGGUCCAGACUCCUACGGGAGGCAGCAGUAAGGAAUAUUGCUCAAUGGGAGAAAUCCUGAAGCAGCAACGCCGCGUGAGGGACGAAGGGCUUUUGCUUGUAAACCUCUGUAGUGAGAGAAAAAAAUCCCAAUCUUUGGGACAUGAUGGUAUCUCAAAAGUAAGCCCCGGCUAACUACGUG